CACAGGUUUGGUCCCAGCCUUCCUAUUGACCCUUAAUAGACUUACACAUGCAAGCAUCCACACCCCAGUGAAAAUGCCCCCUAAGUUAAUAAGACUAAGAGGAGCUGGUAUCAAGCACACAUCCGUAGCUCACGACACCUUGCACAGCCACACCCCCACGGGAGACAGCAGUGAUAAAAAUUAAGCCAUAAACGAAAGUUUGACUAAGCCAUAUUAAUCAGGGUUGGUAAAUUUCGUGCCAGCCACCGCGGUCAUACGAUUAACCCAAGUUAAUAGGCACACGGCGUAAAGCGUGUUAAAGCACUAUUCCAAAUAAAGUUAAACUCCAAUUAAGCUGUAAAAAGCCAUAAUUGCAACAAAAAUAAACAACGAAAGUAACUUUACAACCGCUGAAACACGAUAGCUAGGACCCAAACUGGGAUUAGAUACCCCACUAUGCCUAGCCUUAAACACAAAUAGUUGUGUAAACAAAACUAUUCGCCAGAGUACUACCGGCAAUAGCUUAAAACUCAAAGGACUUGGCGGUGCUUUACACCCUUCUAGAGGAGCCUGUUCUAUAAUCGAUAAACCCCGAUAAACCUCACCAUUCCUUGCUAAUACAGUCUAUAUACCGCCAUCUUCAGCAAACCCUAAAAAGGUACAAAAGUAAGCACAAUCAUAAUACAUAAAAACGUUAGGUCAAGGUGUAACCUAUGGAACGGAAAGAAAUGGGCUACAUUUUCUAACAUAAGAAAAUCCAACACGAAAGUUAUUAUGAAAUUAAUAACCAAAGGAGGAUUUAGCAGUAAACUAAGAAUAGAGUGCUUAGUUGAAUUAGGCCAUGAAGCACGCACACACCGCCCGUCACCCUCCUCAAGUAAACAUAAUACACUCAAAUUUAUUUACACGUAUUAAUCAUAUGAGAGGAGACAAGUCGUAACAAGGUAAGCAUACUGGAAAGUGUGCUUGGAUAAAU
rnacentral:ncRNA from 1 species